UCUUCUGAGGAGCUAAGAAUUGAGGUUGCUGCAGACCCAUAAGGAUUCGCUGCUGGUAACAGCUGCUUCUGGGAUCAGGUAAGAAAAGGUUUCAAGGAGAAAGCUAGGAAGAAUGGAUAGGAUUUGAAUGAGUCCAGUGGAAAGAGGAAGGGCAUUUGAGACAAAGAGCAUAGCAUGAAGCAGUGAGGCAGCCCGCAUCCCACUCCCUACCACCUGUUCUUCCCCUUAGUGGCCUGACCUUGGCCUUCCACUCCAUCCUCAUCCCUCCCCAUCGGCACUGUCUAUCUCAGAAUGUGCCAUGCCUGUGACAGCUCCGGGACUCUGGCCAUGCUGCUUACACUGCCACGGAGACCUUUUUCCUCUUCUUCUUCGUGUAGCUAACUCUUACUUGGCCUUGAAGACUAAUUUAUGUUAGAAGUUAGUCUUCCCAGAAAGCCUUAGUCUUUGGGAAUUUGGUGCUCUUCCUUGAGAAGAAAAGGUACAACCAUUUAACUCCAUCAGAACACUUACCACACGGCCUUCCCCACUGGACUCACUGGAAACGUCUUGAGGGCAAAGGCCUUGCCUUUGAUAGCUGAUCCAUAUCAGCCACCGUGUCCACUACACAGUAGGUGCCCGUUAUCAGCCACCGUGUCCACUACACAGCAGGUGCCCGAUAAAUUCUUGUAGAGUGAAUAUAUAUUUACAGAAAGAGGAGCUGUGAGAAGAUGCCUCAGUUUUGGAAAGGAAAAAUGGGUUGAUUUUUACAUUUUGAAUUUAAGCUGAUGAGAGUCCUUUCAUGUGGAAAUGUCUAACAAAAAUUGGAAAUAGAAGACUGACACUGGAGGCUGUUAUGAUUUUCAUUUUUUUUUUUUUCAGAUAAACUGAAGCACAAGAGGGUAAAAACCUUGUCCUUGGUCUUACAACCAGAAAGCGGUGAUGCAAAGAACUUAGUCCAAGCUUUGAUCUUUUCUGCACUGCCUGCCAAAGCAGAACCUUGAGAAAUACCCAUGUUUGGGGGAUGAGAGGAAGAAGAUAAAUCAGCAAAGAAAAUAGUGAUAAGAAAGAUGCAGAGCCCAGGGAUAUGGAGGGCCAAUUGUAUUUGUAAAACACUUAGAAUGGUGCCUGACAUGUGAGUUGCCUUGUCUAAUUCCAGUCCUGAGAUAGCUACCCAAGAUUGUUGUAACCUCCAGUGAUCAAGUUCUUUGGAUAAGCAAAGAGGGAGGACAUUAAGUGUAUGGAAAAGACCCCUCCUCUCCACGGUGCAAGGCAAGUUCUUUUCCUUAAUUG